UGGUGCGGUCAUACCAGCGCUAGUACACCAGAUCCCAUCAGAACUC
rnacentral:rRNA from 1 species